rnacentral:lncRNA from 1 species
CCCAGCUCCAAAUGGCAGAUGGCGAAACUGGCUUUGUGGAAGGAAUGCAACCUGGUGAUUACAUCUAAUAAUUUCAGGGCCUGUCUUGGAGACCCUGCCAGUGCAGAGAGCAAUCCUACUUCCAUUCCAAUUAUGCGGAUCCUGGGUGUUCCCCUCGACAAAAGCCAACCUCGCCCUCACCUGUCUUGGCAGAACCGGACAUUCAACUCUUAUGAAGACCCCACUCGGGCUGUUCUAACCCAUGGACACCCCCUCCCAGAAAAUGUUCUGGCCCGUGAACACCCUCCCCAAAAGACAAUUUAAAAACCCCAUGCUUUGCUCAGCUCAGGGCUGUCCUAGUCUGCUGGGCAGCCCGCCAUGUCACUCUCCCCAAUAAAGACUCUUCUCGUGUCAAA